UUUUAUGGAGAGUUUGAUCCUGGCUCAGGAUGAACGCUGGCGGCGUGCCUAAUACAUGCAAGUCGAGCGAACGGACGAGAAGCUUGCUUCUCUGAUGUUAGCGGCGGACGGGUGAGUAACACGUGGAUAACCUACCUAUAAGACUGGGAUAACUUCGGGAAACCGGAGCUAAUACCGGAUAAUAUUUUGAACCGCAUGGUUCAAAAGUAAAAGACGGUCUUGCUGUCACUUAUAGAUGGAUCCGCGCUGCAUUAGCUAGUUGGUAAGGUAACGGCUUACCAAGGCAACGAUGCAUAGCCGACCUGAGAGGGUGAUCGGCCACACUGGAACUGAGACACGGUCCAGACUCCUACGGGAGGCAGCAGUAGGGAAUCUUCCGCAAUGGGCGAAAGCCUGACGGAGCAACGCCGCGUGAGUGAUGAAGGUCUUCGGAUCGUAAAACUCUGUUAUUAGGGAAGAACAUAUGUGUAAGUAACUGUGCACAUCUUGACGGUACCUAAUCAGAAAGCCACGGCUAACUACGUGCCAGCAGCCGCGGUAAUACGUAGGUGGCAAGCGUUAUCCGGAAUUAUUGGGCGUAAAGCGCGCGUAGGCGGUUUUUUAAGUCUGAUGUGAAAGCCCACGGCUCAACCGUGGAGGGUCAUUGGAAACUGGAAAACUUGAGKGCAGAAGAGGAAAGUGGAAUUCCAUGUGUAGCGGUGAAAUGCGCAGAGAUAUGGAGGAACACCAGUGGCGAAGGCGACUUUCUGGUCUGUAACUGACGCUGAUGUGCGAAAGCGUGGGGAUCAAACAGGAUUAGAUACCCUGGUAGUCCACGCCGUAAACGAUGAGUGCUAAGUGUUAGGGGGUUUCCGCCCCUUAGUGCUGCAGCUAACGCAUUAAGCACUCCGCCUGGGGAGUACGACCGCAAGGUUGAAACUCAAAGGAAUUGACGGGGACCCGCACAAGCGGUGGAGCAUGUGGUUUAAUUCGAAGCAACGCGAAGAACCUUACCAAAUCUUGACAUCCUUUGACAACUCUAGAGAUAGAGCCUUCCUCUUCGGGGGACAAAGUGACAGGUGGUGCAUGGUUGUCGUCAGCUCGUGUCGUGAGAUGUUGGGUUAAGUCCCGCAACGAGCGCAACCCUUAAGCUUAGUUGCCAUCAUUAAGUUGGGCACUCUAAGUUGACUGCCGGUGACAAACCGGAGGAAGGUGGGGAUGACGUCAAAUCAUCAUGCCCCUUAUGAUUUGGGCUACACACGUGCUACAAUGGACAAUACAAAGGGCAGCGAAACCGCGAGGUCAAGCAAAUCCCAUAAAGUUGUUCUCAGUUCGGAUUGUAGUCUGCAACUCGACUACAUGAAGCUGGAAUCGCUAGUAAUCGUAGAUCAGCAUGCUACGGUGAAUACGUUCCCGGGUCUUGUACACACCGCCCGUCACACCACGAGAGUUUGUAACACCCGAAGCCGGUGGAGUAACCUUUUAGGAGCUAGCCGUCGAAGGUGGGACAAAUGAUUGGGGUGAAGUCGUAACAAGGUAGCCGUAUCGGAAGGUGCGGCUGGAUCACCUCCUUUCUAA
rnacentral:rRNA from 1 species